GAGCCAGUUUUACAUACAUAGCAAGACCCUCUUGUGAAAAAGAAAAAAAAAAUGAAAAACAGAACAGCAAAGAAAACAAAGAAGAGUAAAGGAAAGACAAAUAAGAUAAAACAAAAGGCCCGAGCGCUUAAAGCCAGCCUACUGGAUCUGUGAAAACAGAGCUCUGGGGUGUCUUUGUAAAGCGAUAAGCGAUCUGGAGUGUGUGAGCUCGCAUUAGUUCUGCUGAGGCUGGGAGAGCAUCACGCUUCUGUAAAGUACAAGUGCGAGCAGAUGGGGCGGUUAAGGAUCAGAGCUGGCUCUCUGACCUCACAGCAACCUUCAGAAAGAGCCAGGCUAUUCUGUUCAUUUUGCACCGGAGCACCAGGCUAUGAAAUAUUAAAAACUGUACUUGGUAAAGUGACUGGGACAAACCCUAAACUAGAGAAAGAACAGUUUAUUAGAGGAGAACAGAAUACAUGUUCAUAGAGCAAUUAGGACAUGAGAAACAAACACUACCGACUGAAUAACAUCAUCAACUGGUUACACACAAUCAAGGAGGUAACAAUUUACACACUUACUGCAGUGAUCUCCCUGUUGGAACUCUUGAAUACUCUUUCAACAACUAAGCUAGCAUCCCAAAUAUUUCUGGAACAAAAAUGUUUUGGUUAUUGUACUGUAAACAAAUACAACCUCUUACAAUAUGCAGUUACUGUCUUGUCUGUACGAACAUGAAGGCUUUAUUCAUUUUUCUUUUCUUUUUUUCAGAGCUGGGGACCGAACCCAGGGCCUUGCGCUUGCUAGACAAGCGCUCUAUACCACUGAGCUAAAUCCCCAACCCCUAUUCAUUUUUUCAAAUGCAGUAAUGACUUAUUUUUAACAUUCUUAAAAAUGAAGCUAGAGACAGUUCAGCAAGAAAACAAACUUGUAGAUGCCUUGUGACCUGAAUGGCAUCCCUAGAAGCCCAGAAAGUGGGAGAUUUUACGAGUGUCCCCGACAUGCACAUCUGCACCACGUCCACACUGCAGCACAUGUACCUCUGCCUCACUGUGCACACACAUCAAUAUAAACACAAUUUUAAGAAAAGAAGGGAAAAACUGGAAACAUUUCAAACAUAACAUUAUUCCAGAAAAUGAAAGUACACUAAAGAAAAACUCAGUGGUUAAGGGCACUUAAUGCUCUAGGGAUCUAGGUUCUGUUCCCAGCACUAACAGGACAGCCAACAGCAGUCCUGUAUCUUACUUCCAGGAGAUCUGGUCACCUCUUCAUGGGCACCAGGCAUACAUGCAGUGAACAUGCAUUCAUGCAGGAAAAAUAUUGUACACAUAAAAUUUUUUUAAAAAAAUCACAACACACACACAUACACCCACCCCCCAUUGAUGAAAGUGUUGAUCCCAACUGGCUAUAAGAUCAGUCCCUACAGUCAUGGCAGCUGAUUAGACAGAAUGGGAGGACUACAAAUAGUGCAACCAUGCUUUAUCCUUCCCUCUAACCACUUCCUGUACAGGACUUCCACACCUGUCCUUUAGAGCAAUGCUGUCUCCUCACCAGUGUCUGAAUAGAAGUUGGACAGAUAAGACAGGUCAGAGAAUGUCACUGUUGUGAACACAGGCAUAGAAGGGCUUUGGAAGUUUCAACCUUCACAUGCAGCAAGAGACACCCACCACCAGCAAGAGACAGAUUGUUGGCUGUCCUAUUAAGAAUGAGACUAAACGGGGUUGGGGAUUUAGCUCAGUGGUAGAGCCCUUGCCUAGGAAGCGCAAGGCCCUGGGUUCGGUCCCCAGCUCCAAAAAAAAGAACAAAAAAAAAAAAAAAAAAAAAAAAAAAAAAAAAAAAAAAAAAGAA